CUUUUCUAUCUACCGGAGUGAAAGCGCGUGCACACGCGUGAACACGCGCUGCUUUUUGGGUCGUGCUCUAUACUAUUCAACGAUUGUCCCCCCUACCCUGCGGUCGCCGUUGUUUCUCGGCUAGGGGCUGCCGAUUAUAUUGUUACCUAUUUGCAAGGCGUCCUGCAUGGCUCCUGCAAAGAGCACUGGCAUCAUCGGUGCCGUGAAGAACUUGUACAAUGAUCCAUUCAAAUGGUCUGUCAUCAAAAGCAUCGCGGUGUUUGCCGUCGGUGUAAAGGUCGCCAGGGAGUGUGUUGGACUUGAUCUUCUAGCACCUCCGACCCCUUGAGCUGUGCGCUGUCACAACGGCAAAGCCUACGUGAUGUAGCGUUAUUGGCAGGCGAAGAGUCCGCAAAUCGUGACAUACUGAAGCGAUAUCGACUAGGUAAUGUGUGAGGCGCGUGCAGCUUUUGUGCUGGGCGCUCGUCAGGAGAGAGAAACAGGGAUCACGUUCGUCGAGUCACCAACUGUCUCAGGAAAUUUCGGACAUUAAGACCGCGUCGCCGGGAAGACCCCUAGAAAAUUGGCGACUGGACGGUUCCGCUCGGCGAGAAUUGGUCGGGCCAUUGCGUGUGGAAGUGCCAAUCUUGGCUCAUGCGUUCAUCCUCCCCCAGAUUUUGUUUUCCCGAGUCGCCCGGUCUCUGAGCGCCGUGUGAACGUCGCCGCACGGCACUGACGUCAUAUGCUUACUCUCGCUGUGUCAUGUUGGCAUACACAUAGUGGCAUUGGUACUGUGUAGCGAGUGCGGGGUAUUGUCUUGACUGUGAACCCCAGUGUUUUGUGGAGAGAUACAUUCAGUCCACCUAC
rnacentral:lncRNA from 1 species